UUUUUUUCGCAAUACGUAUAAAAUAGGAAUUUGGGGGUGGGGUCGAGUUUGAAUGCCAAAAGAAAAUAAAGUUGUUUGAAAAUUAAAAAAAAAAACCGGUCAGAUUGUGUAUAGAACCCCCUAUUUUUCGAUUGUUGAUGUUUUAAGCAUUACAUGAAUGAUAUAAGCACUAUAAUCCACGAGGAACUAACAAAACCGCUAUACCCAAUCCUUUGUGCUAUAGUUCACUAAUAAAUACUCUGAGUUUUCUAUCCCUAGU
rnacentral:lncRNA from 1 species